rnacentral:lncRNA from 1 species
GAGAAAGAAGAGGGUUUACAGUGCUCCACUGGGGAAAAGGGCUUUUGUCUUUGUUGAUGACCUAAACAUGCCUGCCAAGGAGAAAUAUGGUGCCCAGCCUCCCAUUGAACUGCUGCAGCAAUGGAUUGACCAUGGCUACUGGUUUGACAGGAAAAGUCACUCCCUCCUCCAUGCCUGUUGCUCAAGAAUCUGUGACUUUGGCUGGUUGAACUUUGACGAAUGUGGCAGAGAGCCUGACUCAGAUGUCACCGCAGGCUGCGUAUUUGUAAGAGAGAAAAUUCCAAACRUACCAACCAUGCUGAAUGAGGACGAGAGAAGAGGCCUGGGGCCUUACAGUUUGAACAGACCUAUGUGACCGUACUCCGGAGAGUCACACAAGUGCCACUCCGCACUUCUGUCAGGGAUGCGGCUGAGGGCUGGCUGCCCAGGCUGGCAGCCCCCACAGAAGCUCACCUGAAGUAGCUUUGAAGCUACAUGAAGGACAGUCACGGCAACACAGGACUUUGUGUGGGCUGCAAAGCCUGCCUGAAUAUCUGAGCAAAUGCUUGGCUGUCUGUGCCAGUCCCUGAGCCGUCCCAGUUACAAAGUCAGUAUUACCUAAGUUAACUCAUUCACCAGGGGCCCAAGCAUGUCUCCAGAGACUGUAGUCGCAGCAGUGUCUGCCGAGCGGAAAAAUCCUAAGAGUGCACACAUCUGGGACUUGGGAUUUCAGCUCUACUAAUGAACAAAAACAGGUCAUGAAAUGUGGAAAAUUUGGGUGGAGAUCGGCUGACUACUCUGCAACUUUUCACCUCCCACAUCCUGUUUCUAUACCUGUUGCUUCCGGGUUCCCACCCCUCCUGUUUCCCUCCCAACCUGCAUUUUGGAAAAAUGAACCCCCCUGAGCCAUGCUUUUUCAAUUUUAGACAUAACAUUUCAUGCUUUUCUAUCUCAGGUGGUUCUGAGAUGUUGUAGACAUGUAAAAUCAACAGCAUUUGUGGCCUCAACUGAUGUGACCUAGAGAGUUCCCUGGGAAUUGUCCCUACAUUGUCCAGGCUGAACUCAGCCCAUGGCAUUAAAUCCCCAAUGAGGACAGAGAAAAUGAGGUUAGCUUUCUGCAAAAGGACUGUUGCAAACCAUUUGGCUUCUCUGUGGGGCAUUGGGGGCAGGCACAGAAGGAGAAAGGAAAAAUAUCUCCCCCUUCCUCCUCACAUGAUGAAAG